UGGAGAUGAGACGAUGGCUCUCUCCUGUCCGCGGCACUUGUAAAUGCAUUUAGGUGUUGUUGUCUGCUCCCUUGCUGCAUCAGCUGGUCUGAUUUCAGAGCAGGAUGGUGAUGUGGAGAUGAUCCUGGGGAGCUCUAAGGUCAGUGCAAAAGAAAAUUGACUACAAGCCUAAAAAAGGUAGCAUCAUGUGGAGAGCAAUGGGUAUAGGACUGCAAAACACUCUCGAGUGGCCUGAUGAAGAAUUCCUGGACCCACCAGACUCUGGGCAACCAGAGGAAG